rnacentral:rRNA from 1 species
GAUGAACGCUGGCGGCGUGCCUAAUACAUGCAAGUCGAACGAAACUUCUUUAUCACCGAGUGCUUGCACUCACCGAUAAAGAGUUGAGUGGCGAACGGGUGAGUAACACGUGGGCAACCUGCCCAAAAGAGGGGGAUAACACUUGGAAACAGGUGCUAAUACCGCAUAGCCAUAGUUACCGCAUGGUAACUAUGUAAAAGGUGGCUAUACUACCGCUUUUGGAUGGGCCCGCGGCGCAUUAGCUAGUUGGUAGGGUAAAGGCUUACCAAGGCAAUGAUGCGUAACCGAAUUGAGAGGUUGAUCGGCCACAUUGGGACUGAGACACGGCCCAAACUCCUACGGGAGGCAGCAGUAGGGAAUCUUCCACAAUGGGCGAAAGCCUGAUGGAGCAACGCCGCGUGGGUGAAGAAGGUCUUCGGAUCGUAAAACCCUGUUGUUAGAGAAGAAAGUGCGUGAGAGUAACUGUUCACGUUUCGACGGUAUCUAACCAGAAAGCCACGGCUAACUACGUG